GAUGAACGCUAGCGGGAGGCUUAAUACAUGCAAGUCGAACGGUAAGGUCUAGCUUGCUAGAUACACGAGUGGCGCACGGGUGAGUAACGCGUACACAAUCUACCCUUAAGUGGGGGAUAGCCCUGGGAAACUAGGAUUAAUACCCCAUAAUAUUGAUUUUAUUACGGUUGAAUCAAUUAAAGCUCAGGUGCUUAAGGAUGAGUGUGCGUCUGAUUAGCUAGUUGGUAAGGUAACGGCUUACCAAGGCGACGAUCAGUAGGGGGCGUGAGAGCGUGAUCCCCCACACGGGUACUGAGACACGGACCCGACUCCUACGGGAGGCAGCAGUAAGGAAUAUUGGACAAUGGGCGAAAGCCUGAUCCAGCCAUCCCGCGUGCAGGAUGACGGCCCUAUGGGUUGUAAACUGCUUUUAGACAGGAAGAAUAGCAGUCAUUUAUGAUUGUAUGACGGUACUGUCAGAAUAAGCACCGGCUAACUCCG
rnacentral:rRNA from 1 species